rnacentral:rRNA from 1 species
AUUGAACGCUGGCGGCAGGCCUAACACAUGCAAGUCGAACGAGUGGCAGACGGGUGCGUAAUGUCUGGGAAACUGCCUGAUGGAGGGGAAUAACUACUGGAAACGGUGGCUAAUACCGCAUACCAUCAGAUGUGCCCAGAUGGGAUUAGCUUGUUGGUGGGGUAACGGCUCACCAAGGCGACGAUCCCUAGCUGGUCUGAGAGGAGGACCAGCCACACUGGAACUGAGACACGGUCCAGACUCCUACGGGAGGAAGCAGUGGGGAAUCUUGCACAAUGGGCGCAAGCCUGAUGCAGCCAUGCCGCGUGUAUGAAGAAGGCCUUCGGGUUGUAAAGUACUUGCAGCGGGGAGGCGUUACCCGCAGAAGAAGCGCCGGCUAACUCCGUGCCAGCAGCCGCGGUAAUAC